rnacentral:rRNA from 1 species
CCUACGGGAGGCAGCAGUUGGGAAUAUUGGACAAUGGGGGGAACCCUGAUCCAGCCAUGCCGCGUGUGUGAAGAAGGCCCUCGGGUUGUAAAGCACUUUCAGUGAGGAAGAACGCCUGGUGGUUAAUACCCAUCAGGAAAGACAUCACUCACAGAAGAAGCACCGGCUAACUCCGUGCCAGCAGCCGCGGUAAUACGGAGGGUGCGAGCGUUAAUCGGAAUUACUGGGCGUAAAGCGCGCGUAGGUGGCUUGAUAAGCCGGUUGUGAAAGCCCCGGGCUCAACCUGGGAACGGCAUCCGGAACUGUCAAGCUAGAGUGCAGGAGAGGAAGGUAGAAUUCCCGGUGUAGCGGUGAAAUGCGUAGAGAUCGGGAGGAAUACCAGUGGCGAAGGCGGCCUUCUGGACUGACACUGACACUGAGGUGCGAAAGCGUGGGUAGCAAACAGGAUUAGAUACCCGAGUAGUC